UACGGAGGGUGCAAGCGUUAAUCGGAAUUACUGGGCGUAAAGGGUGCGUAGGUGGUUAAAUAAGUUAUCUGUGAAAUCCCUGGGCUUAACCUGGGCAGGUCAGAUAAUACUGUAUAGCUCGAGUAUGGGAGAGGGUAGUGGAAUUUCCGGUGUAGCGGUGAAAUGCGUAGAGAUCGGAAGGAACACCAGUGGCGAAGGCGGCUACCUGGCCUAAUACUGACACUGAGGCACGAAAGCGUGGGGAGCAAACAGG
rnacentral:rRNA from 1 species